GACGAACGCUGGCGGCGUGCUUAACACAUGCAAGUCGAACGGAAAGGCCCUGCUUUUGUGGGGUGCUCGAGUGGCGAACGGGUGAGUAACACGUGAGUAACCUGCCCUUGACUUUGGGAUAACUUCAGGAAACUGGGGCUAAUACCGGAUAGGAGCUCCUGCUGCAUGGUGGGGGUUGGAAAGUUUCGGCGGUUGGGGAUGGACUCGCGGCUUAUCAGCUUGUUGGUGGGGUGGUGGCUUACCAAGGCUUUGACGGGUAGCCGGCCUGAGAGGGUGACCGGCCACAUUGGGACUGAGAUACGGCCCAGACUCAUACGGGAGGCAGCAGUGGGGAAUAUUGCACAAUGGGCGGAAGCCUGAUGCAGCAACGCCGCGUGCGGGAUGACGGCCUUCGGGUUGUAAACCGCUUUCGCCUGUGACGAAGCGUGAGUGACGGUAAUGGGUAAAGAAGCACCGGCUAACUACGU
rnacentral:rRNA from 1 species